rnacentral:misc_RNA from 1 species
UUUAUGCAAUUUCAAGCCAAUUUGUUUUUGAAAUAUGGGGGAAAGUACAGAUAAAUUAUAUUUACUAUUAUAAAAACAGAAUUUUAAAUAAUUAAGUAAAGAGACACCACUAGGUUGAAAAUGCAAUCAAAAUUAAGACCAAGUGCAUUAAUACUUGCCGAGUAAUGAUUAAAUUGUAACUCUGGAGUAUGAUGUACUCAGGUAUCUGCGAAAUUCUGAGUAUGAUCUAACAAAGAAAAACAAACAGAGAGACAAGAAGACUUGAAGAAGAGGAGACCCAGUGAUAAACUAUAGGCCCCAUGCAAUCUCCCCCAAGAACACACAAUCAACAAUUUUAUUAAGAAUCUGGUGACCUACCAUGGAAGCGCACCCAACUUGGCAAAGGUCAAGCAAGACAACACAAUUUGAUCCUACCUCAUCAUCAGAACGAACAGUGACCACAUCAUAUCUGCUUGCAUCAAUGAUCAUAAUGCAUAAUGCAGAUGACUACACCAAAGCCACAGCCUGCAGAACUCAUCUGAGCAAGCGAGUAUGAAGGCCGGGCCACAAUAGAAUUCCUCACAAAUCCGAGCUGCAGAUCUGUGCCAAUGCAAUGAUUACAAUCAUAUAGUGAUGAACAAAACAGCAGCACAAAAACUAUAGGGAAGUGACAGAAGAUGAAAGUAGGCGUGGGGAUGAGUGUAUUUGGAGCUGGCAUGGAUAUCACCGAAAUCAACAACAGUGGCAAGUCAAAUUCAAGACAUCUUUGAAUCUCCCACUAUCCAACAUCUCGUGCUACAAAACCCUCAGAAGGUGAUGUGUCAACAUUCAAUCAAGAUGGACACAAUAUGGGUGGAUUUUGUCAUCUUUCACAUAAACCAUUGCGUCUCCCUGCAAAAUUUUAGGGUAGUUCACUCAAGCCAACCUUAAUAUCACGU